rnacentral:sRNA from 12 species
GCUGUGGAGUGUCAAACAAAAGUACGGUAGCUUCGGCAAAGACGGACACGUUGAAGCAGUAA